AUUGAACGCUGGCGGCAUGCCUUACACAUGCAAGUCGAACGGCAGCAUGGAGAGCUUGCUCUCUGAUGGCGAGUGGCGAACGGGUGAGUAAUGCAUCGGAACGUACCGUGUAAUGGGGGAUAACGUAGCGAAAGUUACGCUAAUACCGCAUACGACCUGAGGGUGAAAGCAGGGGAUCGCAAGACCUUGCGUUAUUCGAGCGGCCGAUGUCAGAUUAGCUAGUUGGUGAGGUAAAGGCUCACCAAGGCGACGAUCUGUAGCGGGUCUGAGAGGGUGAUCCGCAACACUGGGACUGAGAAACGGCCCAGACUCCUACGGGAGGCAGCAGUGGGGAAUUUUGGACAAUGGGGGCAACCCUGAUCCAGCCAUGCCGCGUGAGUGAAGAAGGCCUUCGGGUUGUAAAGCUCUUUCGGCCGGGAAGAAAUCGCACAGGCUAAUACUCUGUGUGGAUGACGGUACCGGCAUAAGAAGCACCGGCUAACUACGUGCCAGCAGCCGCCGUAA
rnacentral:rRNA from 1 species